AACGAACGCUGGCGGCAGGCUUAACACAUGCAAGUCGAACGCCCCUUCGGGGGAGUGGCAGACGGGUGAGUAACGCGUGGGAAUCUACCCAGUUCUGCGGAACAACAGUUGGAAACGGCUGCUAAUACCGCAUACGCCCUACGGGGGAAAGAUUUAUCGGAAUUGGAUGAGCCCGCGUAAGAUUAGCUAGUUGGUGAGGUAAUGGCUCACCAAGGCGACGAUCUUUAGCUGGUCUGAGAGGAUGAUCAGCCACACUGGGACUGAGACACGGCCCAGACUCCUACGGGAGGCAGCAGUGGGGAAUAGUGGACAAUGGGCGCAAGCCUGAUCCAGCCAUGCCGCGUGAGUGAUGAAGGCCUUAGGGUUGUAAAGCUCUUUCAGUAGGGAAGAUAAUGACGGUACCUACAGAAGAAGCCCCGGCUAACUUCGUGCCAGCAGCCGCAGUAAAAC
rnacentral:rRNA from 1 species